rnacentral:rRNA from 1 species
AACGCUAGCUACAGGCUUAACACAUGCAAGUCGAGGGGCAGCAUGGUCUUAGCUUGCUAAGGCCGAUGGCGACCGGCGCACGGGUGAGUAACACGUAUCCAACCUGCCGUCUACUCUUGGACAGCCUUCUGAAAGGAAGAUUAAUACAAGAUGGCAUCAUGAGUUCACAUGUUCACAUGAUUAAAGGUAUUCCGGUAGACGAUGGGGAUGCGUUCCAUUAGAUAGUAGGCGGGGUAACGGCCCACCUAGUCUUCGAUGGAUAGGGGUUCUGAGAGGAAGGUCCCCCACAUUGGAACUGAGACACGGUCCAAACUCCUACGGGAGGCAGCAGUGAGGAAUAUUGGUCAAUGGGCGCAGGCCUGGACCAGCCAAGUAGCGUGAAGGAUGACUGCCCUAUGGGUUGUAAACUUCUUUUAUAAAGGAAUAAAGUCGGGUAUGUAUACCCGUUUGCAUGUACUUUAUGAAUAAGGAUCGGCUAACUCCGUGCCAGCAGCCGCGGUAAUACGGAGGAUCCGAGCGUUAUCCGGAUUUAUUGGGUUUAAAGGGAGCGUAGAUGGAUGUUUAAGUCAGUUGUGAAAGUUUGCGGCUCAACCGUAAAAUUGCAGUUGAUACUGGAUAUCUUGAGUGCAGUUGAGGCAGGCGGAAUUCGUGGUGUAGCGGUGAAAUGCUUAGAUAUCACGAAGAACUCCGAUUG